rnacentral:rRNA from 1 species
GAUUAGCUGGUUGGUGAGGUAACGGCCCACCAAGGCGACGAUCAGUAGCCGACCUGAGAGGGUGGCCGGCCACAUUGGGACUGAGACACGGCCCAAACUCCUACGGGAGGCAGCAGUGGGGAAUAUUGCACAAUGGGGGAAACCCUGAUGCAGCAACGCCGCGUGAGUGAAGAAGUAUUUCGGUAUGUAAAGCUCUAUCAGCAGGGAAGAAGAAAGACGGUACCUGACUAAGAAGCCCCGGCUAACUACGUGCCAGCAGCCGCGGUAAUACGUAGGGGGCAAGCGUUAUCCGGAUUUACUGGGUGUAAAGGGAGCGUAGACGGCUGUGCAAGUCUGAAGUGAAAGCCCGUGGCUCAACCGCGGAACUGCUUUGGAAACUGUAUAGCUUGAGUACUGGAGAGGCAGGCGGAAUUCCUAGUGUAGCGGUGAAAUGCGUAGAUAUUAGGAGGAACACCAGUGGCGAAGGCGGCCUGCUGGACAGAAACUGACGUUGAGGCUCGAAAGCGUGGGGAGCAAACAG